rnacentral:rRNA from 1 species
UACGUAGGGACCAAGCGUUGUUCGGAUUUACUGGGCGUAAAGGGCGCGUAGGCGGCGUGGUAAGUCACUUGUGAAAUCUCCGAGCUUAACUCGGAACGGCCAAGUGAUACUGCUGCGCUAGAGUGCAGAAGGGGCAAUCGGAAUUCUUGGUGUAGCGGUGAAAUGCGUAGAUAUCAAGAGGAACACCUGAGGUGAAGACGGGUUGCUGGGCUGACACUGACGCUGAGGCGCGAAAGCCAGGGGAGCAAACGGG